rnacentral:tRNA from 1 species
GAGGGUGUAGCUCAAGUGGUAGAGUGCCUGUUUAGCAUGUGUGAGGUCCUGGGUUCAAUCCCCGGUACCUCCU